UACGGAGGGUGCGAGCGUUGUCCGGAAUCACUGGGCGUAAAGGGCGCGUAGGCGGCUUGGCAAGUGGAUGGUGAAAUCCCUCGGCUUAACCGAGGAACUGCCGUCCAAACUGCUUCGCUUGAGACCGGGAGAGGUGAGUGGAAUUCCCAGUGUAGCGGUGAAAUGCGUAGAUAUUGGGAGGAACACCAGUGGCGAAGGCGGCUCACUGGACCGGUACUGACGCUGAUGCGCGAAAGCGUGGGGAGCAAACGGG
rnacentral:rRNA from 1 species